rnacentral:rRNA from 1 species
ACACGACUACAUUAGAUACCCGGGUAGUCCAGGGUGUAAACGCUGCGGGCUUGGUGUUGGGGGUCCUUUGAGGGCGCCCAGUGCCGGAGAGAAGUUGUUAAGCCUGCUGCUUGGGGAGUACGUCCGCAAGAAUGAAACUUAAAGGAAUUGGCGGGGGAGCACCGCAACGGGAGGAGCGUGCGGUUCAAUUGGAUUCAACGCCGGACAACUCACCAGGAGCGACGGUUACAUGAAGGCCAGGCUGAUGACCUUGCCUGAUUUUCCG